UAAACAGGUUCAAGAUGAGCAGCAAGACUCCCUAAGUCUCCCAUGUUUCAAAGGAAGACAGAAGCAAUACCCAGACCUUGAACUAUCCAUAUCCUUAAAAUGUGGAAUCAACAGAAUUGUUUCUGAAGGCUCUGCCUCUGGACAUCAGAAGAGUCAGAUGACAUGUCACCGGAAAAAGGAAGGAAGAAGUGGUUUAAACUGGCUUAAACAGGAUCCAAUUAAGCAGACGGACUCACCUAUUCUAACCUAUCUUCUUCCCAUCACU
rnacentral:lncRNA from 1 species